rnacentral:rRNA from 1 species
AUACCUAAACGUUGCUUCGGCGGGAACAGACGGCCCCGUGAAACGGGCCGCCCCCGCCAGAGGACCCCUAACUCUGUUUCUAUAAUGUUUCUUCUGAGUAAAACAAGCAAAUAAAUUAAAACUUUCAACAACGGAUCUCUUGGCUCUGGCAUCGAUGAAAAACGCACCGAAAUGCGAUAAGUAAUGUGAAUUGCAAAAUUCAGUGAAUCAUCGAAUCUUUGAACGCACAUUGCGCCCGCCAGUAUUCUGGCGGGCAUGCCUGUGCGAGCGUCGUUACAACCCUCAGGCCCCCGGGCCUGGCGUUGGGGAUCGGCGGAGCCCCCGGUGGGCGCACGCCGUCCCCCAAAUACAGUGGCGGUCCCGCCGCAGCUUCCAUCGCGUAGUAGCUAACACCUCGCGACUGGAGAGCGGCGCGGCCACGCCGUAAAACACCCAACUCUUCUGA